UAGAAUCAAUACAGAGCUUUGGAAACGUCUAUACAACAAGAUCUCAAUCCUCAGAAAGAGUCUAGUGUCGUUACCUCCGAAAUAUACCACAGAUAAUCGGAUCCUCGGCUAGAUCAACGUCGGAGACACUGCGCCGUCACCUCCUGUUGAAAUAGCUACCGGUAAAGCUCUCUCUCUUGAUUUUCUUCUCGUGAAGCUCUCUGAUCUCUCUGAUCUUUCUUUCUGUUAGAAGCCGCGAGGAAGAUGAUGGCCGUUACAGCCGUUUUAAUCAGCUGUUGAGCUCGUGGGCUUGAGUGUCACGAGGCCCAGCGCGCUCUUCUUUUUUCUCCGUUACUGAAGUAGCAGGCCCAAUAGCAUUGGCCCAAACCAGAAGAAAACAAGCUGAAGACCAAAAACCCAC
rnacentral:lncRNA from 1 species